GAUGAACGCUUGCGGCGUGCUUAACACAUGCAAGUCGAACGAGAGAAGAUCGGUGCUUGCACUGAUCCGAUCGAGUGGCGGACGGGUGAGUAACGCGUGGGUAACCUGCCUCAUACAGGGGAAUAACAGCUGGAAACGGCUGCUAAAACCGCAUAAGCGCACAGUAUCGCAUGAUACAGUGUGAAAAACUCCGGUGGUAUGAGAUGGACCCGCGUCUGAUUAGCUAGUUGGUGAGGUAACGGCCCACCAAGGCAACGAUCAGUAGCCGGCCUGAGAGGGUGAACGGCCACAUUGGGACUGAGACACGGCCCAAACUCCCACGGGAGGCAGCAGUGGGGAAUAUUGCACAAUGGGGGAAACCCUGAUGCAGCGACGCCGCGUGAGUGAUGAAGUAUUUCGGUAUGUAAAGCUCUAUCAGCAGGGAAGAUAAUGACGGUACCUGACUAAGAAGCACCGGCUAAAUACGUGCCAGCAGCCGCAGUAA
rnacentral:rRNA from 1 species